rnacentral:rRNA from 1 species
AGUGAACGCUGGCGGUAGGCCUAACACAUGCAAGUCGAACGGCAGCACAGUAAGAGCUUGCUCUUACGGGUGGCGAGUGGCGGACGGGUGAGGAAUACAUCGGAAUCUACUUUUUCGUGGGGGUUCACGUAGGGAAACUUACGCUAAUACCGCAUACGACCUACGGGUGAAAGCAGGGGAUCUUCGGACCUUGCGCGAUUGAAUGAGCCGAUGUCGGAUUAGCUAGUUGGCGGGGUAAAGGCCCACCAAGGCGACGAUCCGUAGCUGGUCUGAGAGGAUGAUCAGCCACACUGGAACGGAGACACGGUCCAGACUCCUACGGUAGGCAGCAGUGGGGAAUAUUGGACAGAGGGCGCAAGCCUGAUCCAGCCAUACCGCGUGGGUGAAGAAGGCCUUCGGGUUGUAAAGCCCUUUUGUUGGGAAAGAAAAGCAGCAGGUUAAUACCCCGCUGUUCUGGCGGUACCCAAAGAAUAAGCACCGGCUAACUUCGUG